CUUGCUGGGGCCAGGGAUCCACUUCCUUCCUUCUUUUCUUCCUUAUGUUGCUACAUUCCAGCAUCUAGAUUCCAAAUAUCAGAGAAGCUGUUUCACUACUGUCCACCAUUCCAGCAUCUUCCUUUUCAGGGAAUCAAACUGGGGAGGAAAAUGAAGUUGCUAGAAAACAGGAAUAAAGGAUUACAAACUGAAAUAUGCUGAGAUUUAACCUUAAUCAGCCUGCAAGCCAUGAAAGGAAGUAGGAAGAGAUGCUGAAGGGGACACUGUUUAUGGUGCAAAAGGUGAGGCUCAAGCUCCCAAUGCAAGCUCUGAAACAGGUGGGAUUUGGUCUCUUUCUCUUCAACGGCGACCUGAAAUAAUAUGGUUAGAUUUAAUUACAGAUUUUCUGCACAGGAUACCAACAUGGAUGAAUCUCACAAAUAUUGUGCUGAAAAAACAAUCUGACACAAAAAUGUAUAAUGGUUGUGUCUGUUUAUAUAAAGUUCAAAAUCAGGAAAAACAUGUAUGAGAAGUCAGAAUACUGGUUUCAUUUAGAGAAGACUGGAAGGGGCACAGAUAGACCUGCAGAUGCUGGCAAUAUUCUAUUUCUUCUUGGGUGAUGAUUACCCUGAUGUGUUCACAUUAUGCUAAGUGAGUCAUUAAACCAUAUACUUAUAAUCUGUGUAUUUUUAUAUACAUAUGCAAUUCCAAUU